rnacentral:rRNA from 1 species
AAGCGGUGGAGCAUGUGGUUUAAUUCGAAGCAACGCGCAGAACCUUACCUACCCUUGACAUGCCGGUCGCAGUUUCCAGAGAUGGAUACUUUCAAUUCGGUUGGACCGUGCACAGGUGCUGCAUGGCUGUCGUCAGCUCGUGUCGCGAGAUGUUGGGUUAAGUCCCGCAACGAGCGCAACCCUCACUGUUAGUUGCCAGCAUUUAGUUGGGCACUCUAGCAGAACUGCCGGUGCUAAGCCGGAGGAAGGUGGGGAUGACGUCAAGUCCUCAUGGCCCUUACGGGUAGGGCUACACACGUGCUACAAUGGCGAUGACAGAGGGUUAAUCCCUAAAAAUCGUCUCAGUUCGGAUUGUCUUCUGCAACUCGAAGACAUGAAGUUGGAAUCGCUAGUAAUCGUGGAUCAGCAUGCCACGGUGAAUACGUUCCCGGGCCUUGUACACACCGCCCGUCACACCAUGGGAGUUGGUUCUACCCGAAGGCGCUGCGCUAACCAGUUCUGGAGGCAGGCGACCACGGUAGGGUCAGCGACUGGGGUGAAGUCGUAACAAGGUAGCCGUAGGGGAACCUGCGGCUGGAUCACCUCCUU